AACGAACGCUGGCGGCAGGCUUAACACAUGCAAGUCGAACGCCCCGCAAGGGGAGUGGCAGACGGGUGAGUAACGCGUGGGAAUCUACCUAGUUCUACGGAACAACAGUUGGAAACGACUGCUAAUACCGUAUACGCCCUAUGGGGGAAAGAUUUAUAGGAAUUAGAUGAGCCCGCGUAAGAUUAGCUAGUUGGUGAGGUAAUGGUUCACCAAGGCGACGAUCUUUAGCUGGUCUGGGAGGAUGAUCAGCCACACUGGGACUGAGACACGGCCCAGACACCUACGGGAGGCAGCAGUGGGGAAUAUUGGACAAUGGGCGCAAGCCUGAUCCAGCCAUGCCGCGUGAGUGAUGAAGGCCUUAGGGUUGUAAAGCUCUUUCAGUAGGGAAGAUAAUGACGGUACCUACAGAAGAAGCCCCGGCUAACUUCGUGCCAGCCGCCGCAGUAAAAC
rnacentral:rRNA from 1 species